UACGUAGGGGGCUAGCGUUGUCCGGAAUUACUGGGUGUAAAGGGCGUGUAGGCGGGAUAUUAAGUCAGAUGUGAAAGGCCGAGGCUCAACCUCGGGACUGCAUCUGAAACUAGUAUUCUUGAGUGCAGGAGAGGAAAGCGGAAUUCCAAGUGUAGCGGUGAAAUGCGUAGAUAUUUGGAGGAACACCAGUGGCGAAGGCGGCUUUCUGGACUGUAACUGACGCUGAGGCGCGAAAGCGUGGGGAGCAAACAGG
rnacentral:rRNA from 1 species